CCCAGUUCGGAUCGCAGGCUGCAACCCGCCUGCGUGAAGUUGGAAUCGCUAGUAAUCGCGGAUCAGCAUGCCGCGGUGAAUACGUUCCCGGGCCUUGUACACACCGCCCGUCACACCAUGAGAGUCGGGAACACCCGAAGUCCGUAGCCUAACCGCAAGGGGGCGCGGCCGAAGGUGGGUUCGAUAAUUGGGGUGAAGUCGUAACAAGGUAUC
rnacentral:rRNA from 1 species